GAGAAAACAACAUUGAUGGUGCACUGAUAUUGGCAUCUGCUUAUAUCUUAUAUUCAUAAAGCAGCUCAGUUUCUGGAAAGCCAGUUGCUAGGUGUGCAGAACAUCAAGGUGACGGUGAAGAACAGAUUCUUCCUCCCAACAACCUGCGAAUGAGACGUUUGGGAAACCACUGUUCUAUGUGGACGACCUUCAUACAUGAUGAAUCUAUGUGUGCCUAUAGCUGAUUACGGCAUUCCAUGGCCUGCCAGCCUCCUGGGUCCCUGUCCAUCUCAGACAACUCCUCACGCCUGACCUAAUGGUGUCAGUGUCAUCUUCAACUGGAUUAAUGACACUGCAAAGAGCCAGAGUUUGGGAGAGCCCACUGACAUGAUCCACUCGGCAGUAUUAUGGUCCCGAUGUAGUGACACGGGCUGAUCUGGAAAGCAGAGGGAAGAUGGGAGGCUGUGAUAUACAGAUCCUGGAUGACCUCAUUCAUUUCUGUGUUUUCAACUAUAAUCUACUUGCAGAUGAUCCAACACCAUCACACUAUGAACUGCAGACCAGUGGUCCCCAAAGUUGAGUGCACCUUACAAUAA